rnacentral:sRNA from 1 species
UCAGAACAUCUUGUCAUGUGCAUGGUAGC